rnacentral:miRNA from 1 species
UGUGUGUAUGUGUGUGUGUGUAUGUGUGUGUGUAUAUAUAUAUACACACACACACAUACACACACACACACAUACACA